UUUUCAGUAGCUCAGUGGCAAAGCAAUUGCCUAUUAACUAAUUGGUCGUAAGUUCGAAUCCUACUUGGGGAG